GGCUGAUCCAAUGGUCGUGGGUUAUCAGAACUUACUAACAUUAGUGUCACUAAAGUUGGUAUAUAAUCCCCCACUGCUAAAUUGGACCAGCUUAAA
rnacentral:Y_RNA from 1 species